CUUGGUCCCAGCUAAACCAUCAGGCCCUAAGAGGAUAAGACAUCCCCUCCUCAUGAGGCCCCUCCUCCCUAGACCAUUUAUAAAAACCCUGACAUUUUUACUACUGCUUAGCAACCUGCUCGGGACCCCUUUCUGUGACUGUGAGCUGUUCUGUUCUUUUGCCUAUUAAAUUCCUGCUCCAAACUCACGCUAUGAGUGUGUGCGUGUCCUCGACCUCAAUAUCCUUGGUCGUGAGACCAAGAACCUCAGUAUUUACCCAAGACAACAAGGCUGCUUCAUUUUGAGGGCUCGUCUGGGAUUUGAAGGUGACUUCAUCAGAAGGUGUCUUGCCACUCUUGGUGCACCUAGAAUGACUUCCAGUGGCCUGGGACUCCUUGGGGAAACAGAAAAGGCACCACAAAUCCCAUUUUAGGAAAAAUCUGUUUUCCUCGGAGCCCCUGGAAUUGAAGGAAUCAAGCUUAACUUGCUGAGCCAAUAAAAGCCCCUGGGGAAAACUGGUCUCACACCUGUCUACACAGUCUCCAUACAGGGUUCCUGACCUGCGGUGAGUAAAGAAUGUCACUUUCUAACAGGCCUAGGAACCCCAUGCUUCUGGAACCUCAAGAAAGAAAAAAAUUUAUCCAACUCACAGGUAUUUAAAAGUACAAACCCAUGGCUGGGCUUGGCUUUAAAAAGUCCUAUCUAAAAUUCCUCAUGGAACAAGGUUCCAUCAAAGCCAAUCUAAGAGGCCUAUGUAAGGAUGAUUAUUCUUGCUGUACUUUACGCAAAUAAUUAGGCCAAGUAUAGGACUGAAGUCUGUUUUGCAAACAACUCAGUCCUAUCAUAGAUUAUUUUUAACAAAAAUGAGGACUAGAGAAAGAGAAAUUAUGUUUUAAAACUUAUCAUACAUCUGUUAUUAACCUGUAGUCUCAUCAGUUGUUUUUAAGUUCUUGCCUACAUUUUAAACUAAACCUGCUUAUUCCUGUCAACCAACCAGCAAUCUCCGGCUGCAGCUCAGAGAAAACAGAAAGCCAUGGGUAAUAGAAAAAUCUGGAAACAUGUUCUAGUUCUGGGCAAUUAUCCUACAAAUCCUGCCAGGUAAACUAUAACCCCAAAGUUUCCCUCUUUUUUGGGAAAGCAAGACCAAGAAAGCUAAACAAAGCCAAGCCCCAUAUACCCACUUACAACAGCAUAACCCAUCUGAAUGGCUCACAGGUAUCAAACAAACUCUGUUGUCAUGGUUAUGGCCUGUAGUGCCCCCACUAAUAAUAGUAAUCUUUUUUUUUUUUUUUUUUGAGAUGGAGUUUUGCUCUUGUUGCCCAGGCUGGAGUGCAAUGGCGCGAUUUCGGCUCACUGCAACCUCUGCUUCCUGGGUUCAAGCAAUUCUCCUGCUUCAGCUUCCUAAGUAGCUGGGAUUACAGGCACGCGCCACCAUGCUCGGUUGAUUUUUUAUUUUUAGUAGAGACGGGGUUUUGCCAUGUUGGCCAGGUUGGUUUUGAACCCCUGACCUCAGGUGAUCCACCAGCCUCGGCCUCCCAAAGUGCUAGGAUUACAGGCAUGAGCCACCAUGCCCGGCCAAUAAUAGUAAUCUUAAUACUCGUAUUUGGAACCUAUAUUCUAAACCUCCUUGUGAAGUUUAUCUCUUCUCGCUUAGAAACCAUCAAGCUUCAGAUGGUGCUGCAAAUGGAGCUGAAAAUGAAACUGCCCUCCUACAAGGGACCCUUAGAUCAACCCCAGGAGGAGCCCUAGCUGCUGUUUCCCACACAACGCCACUCUCCAGCAGGAAGUAGCCAGAAGAAAUCGUCACCCAGUUUCCCCUAGCAGCAGUUAUGGAUUCCAUUCCUCAGGGGGGAAAUAUGUUAUAGGAGGCAAAAAGAAAUUAUUUAGGUAGACAUUUAGGGUAAAGUGAGUCCCCAGCAGAAAACUUUCCUUUUAACAAAAAGCAGCUCAAAAAUAGCUCCCUUUCUAAACUCAUGCAGUUUAAAAAAAAAGCACUUCUCUUCUAACAACAAGCAGCCUGAAAGUUCAGGCUGUAAAACACAGAGAAGAUGGCUUGAGCACAGAAAGGGAGGGAGAAGUCUCCUGGGUAAUCACCAAACUUCACAUUUACACAGUGGGCCCCAGUAAAACAGUGGGUCUUAAUAAGCAUAUUCCUUCCCUUUAGGUGCAGUAAGAUAGAGGAGCUAAAAACAGACUUGGGGGGAUGUCUGCAGCUGCAAGAAGAUGUGUGGGAACAGACACAGAAACUCUCCCUCCCAGAUAAGCAAGACAAAGAAACACAGACUAAGAGUCCAUCUAUGUGGUCAGAGAAUGGGAUAAGAGCUGAUUAAAAAAAACUCUGCGCUAUACAGAUUGCACACCUGGUCCCAACCAAACCAUUGGACCCUAGGAGGAUAAGACAUCCUCUGCUCAUGAGCGCCCCCUUCAGUAGCCCAUUUAUAAAAACCCUGACAAUUUUACUACCACUUGGCAACCCGCUUGGGACCCCUCUCUGUGAUGGAGAGCUGUUCUUUUCUUUUGCCUAUUAAACUCCUGCUCCAAACUCA